UACGUAGGGUGCGAGCGUUGUCCGGAAUUAUUGGGCGUAAAGGGCUCGUAGGCGGUUUGUCGCGUCGGGAGUGAAAUCCACUGGCUUAACUGGUGGCUUGCUUUCGAUACGGGCAGACUGGAGGUAUGCAGGGGAGAACGGAAUUCCUGGUGUAGCGGUGAAAUGCGCAGAUAUCAGGAGGAACACCGGUGGCGAAGGCGGUUCUCUGGGCAUGUCCUGACGCUGAGGAGCGAAAGUGUGGGGGAGCGAACGG
rnacentral:rRNA from 1 species